CUCUAGCAAGAAUGUGCUUUCUAAUAUUAUGGCACUAUGGAAAAUAGUUUGGAAAUGAUAAAACUUCAAUAACGAAAUUUUAAAAUUCACAAAAUGAGAUUUUGCUGUUUUUCAAAUAGAAAGCAUGCGAACUUUUUUAAUGGUUAAUUUUAGUCAAAUGUUUCAUGUCUCUUUUCUAUAUCAUCCUUAGGAUCCUAGAAGUUUGGGACAGAUAAUAAGGUUUUCUUGUUUUUGUUUGCCCUUUCUCAUACAUAAGAAAUCACUCCUUAAUUUUCAUAUUUUAUGUUAGACAUUUUUAUCCAGCCAAUAAAUUUGUCAAAGUCAUGACACCCAGGGAUUUUAUUAUCCACUUUUAUUUAUUUUUUUUGAGAAUCAGAAUACAUAGACAAUAUUUUGUUUUAACAGUUUAUCUUCUAUCUAAGGCUGCAAAAAAAAGUAUCCCACUGGCAGGUUUGGACAAUGCUAUGGUCUGAACAAACUCACUAUUCUUCUCUGUCCUUACACUUUAUUGUGUUUAGUUUAUUUGCCUAUGAGUGGUAACAUUUCUCAAAAAGAGGAGAUAAUAAUUAAUCUAGUGUAUCUGUUGAAAAAGUUCAUUCUCAAUAAUUGGUUGAAUAGAUUUCCCCAAAUAUAAUUUUCAUGUUUUUGCUUACCCCAUAACAACUACCAUAGCAAAAGAUCACCAGUCUUUUAGAACUAAAGGAAAACAUAUGACAGAAAACUGAGUAACAUUCCUUAACUAAUUUAGAGAUCUUUCCAUAAAUUCUAUCAUACAAGUUCUUCAACUCAGUGAACUGAUGGAACCUUAGUGCCUGC
rnacentral:lncRNA from 1 species